GACGAACGCUGGCGGCGUGCUUAACACAUGCAAGUCGAACGAAGUGGCGAACGGGUGAGUAACGCGUAAUCCACCUGCCUUUCAGAGGGGGACAACAGUUGGAAACGACUGCUACUACCUCAUACUGAAGGAGGGGAUUGCGUCUGCUUAGCUAGUUGGAGGGGUAACGGCCCACCAAGGCGAUGAUCAGUCGCCGGGCUGGGAGGAUGGACGGCCACAUUGGGACUUAGAGACGGCCCAGACUCCUACGGGAGGCAGCAGUGGGGAAUCCUCCGCAAUGGACGAAAGUCUGACGGAGCAACGCCGCGUGAGUGAUGACGGCCUUCGGGUUGUAAAGCUCUGUUAAUCGGGACGCGGUACCGGAAUAGAAAGCCACGGCUAACUACGUGCCAGCAGCCGCGGUAAUAC
rnacentral:rRNA from 1 species